rnacentral:lncRNA from 1 species
UUCUAUUACAAAAAUUGAGUAACUUCUUGUUAAUGGCAAGAUGUAUAUAUAGCCAUAAUAUAAGUCACAAUAUCUUUUACAAAAACCCAUAGCAAAAACACCUAAUUAAUAUUCCUAGAUUAGAAAUAUAAAAAUAGUUUUUGCAAUAAUAUAUCAUUGUAAAAUCAUAGUCAUCUUUUAUAUAUGUCUCCAAAAGCUGCAUCUUAAUAUGUAAUUUAUAGUUUCCAAAACCUGAAAAAAAGAUGCAAACAAUUAUUCUCAAGAAUAAAUUGAAGGAAAAUAGAAAAUAAAUUUUAAUAGGAUAAUUAUUUAACCACUUACCUAAAUAAAUGCCCAAAUUCGUCAAAUGUAAUUAUAUAUACUUGAAAAACAAACCGUCAAUAUAAAAGAGGCUGCAUGACAACAAACAUGAGUAGAUUAGAAAUAAUAUAUCUAUUUUUUGGAUAAUAAGAAUAAUAAGUCAAGUUUUCCUAAGCUUUAAGAUAAAAAACUAAUAGUCAAAAGGCUGAGCUGAGGAAGUUCUUCUCAUUUCACACAACUGUUGAUAAGGACAAAUUAGCAACAAAAAGCGCAUUAUGUAAGUCAAGUACACAAGGAUGACAAAUGCAAGAUACAUAAAGAUAAGAUCUGUUAGGACAAGCAAAAUGUAUUUGGAGACACAAAACUAGUAUCCUCAAAAAUUGGCAGUCCACUAGAAAUUGAAGUGGAUGGACUUCAGCUAAAAGUAUACAAUCUAAACUGCAUACAUAGAAUCAAGAAGAGUGUCAGCGGGAAAAGGAGGAGGGUGAAUUUCAUUAUCAAAAUACCAAAAGAUCCUAGCUCUAGAAUCAGGGAAUUGCGUCCACUUAACUAAAGAGCUAUGCAUUUGAAAAAACAGACAAUACAAAUCAAAUUGGAAGUAACAGUUUAUGACUUGUUGUGUUAGAGCAAAGUAAUUAAAAGAUAAGUAAUUUGCUAUAAAUAGUACUCUGUCUAGUCUUUUCAAGCUUAGUGCUUGGAUUAAUUAGUCCCUUUCUAGUAGGUCUAGUUUCUCAUUUGUUAGAACAAGCAUUUACAUUGAUUUUUUUAAAUUGGAAAACAUUCUGCAUCUUGACACAAUUGAGAAGAAUUCUAGUAGGUCUAGAGGUUAUUGAAGCAAGAUUUGUGUAAUUUGCUUGCACAUGACUCACACAUGAGAUCUCUGGUUCACAAUAUAGACAGCAAGGAGCUAUGGGGUAAAUAAAAUAUCAUAAUACUGAACACGAUAAUAAGAAUUGCUAGCCAAAAGGGCAGCCAUUCCCAUUCUUUCUUGUCUACCCCCUUUGGCACAUUUAUAAGAGCCUCUUGGAUUAGCUUACCCUUCACAUACUUUGCAUGCAAUUUUCCUCUCCAUUUAAUCCAUAAUUUCUUCAUCCAACCCAAAAUAUGAUCACGAUGAAUAUCCAUGUCAUCACUAUCAAAUUUAUCCUACAAUAAAAAUAAUUUUUUUAAAGUUUAGAGUAUGUGAAAAGCUCUCCUGGAGCAAAGCAAAAAUUUAACUUUCUAACAGUUUUUCAAAGUUAAGACAUUAAAUCAUACUCUAUCGUAUAUAAUUCAAUAACAUCAGAAAAAGGAUAACUACUAGGAAACAUCUCAAAUAGCACUAUAGAGCAUAUUGAUAUCAGCCUUUGCUCUAACUAGCAAAGUAAAAUUACCAGUGACAAACAUUUUUCGGAGGCAAUCCUCUGAGUCAUUUAUUUGGAACUCUCUGCAUCUCAUCAAUAGAAGAAUUGAUGAACCCCGAUUGAAUAAGCUUCAUCAAGUCGGCUAUCAACAUGCUGCAUCCAUUGCUUACUUGGUGCCAUAACCUUGACUAGUAUAUAGAUAUUAGAUAAAAAAUAUAUAUUUAGGAUAACAAAAAUACUAAGGUGCACAUAACCUUUUAUUAAACUUGCAAACCCAUUCUAAUGAGCAAAACUUUCUAAGAUAUCACAAGAUGAGAUACACUAUUAAUUGAUAGUCAAAAUAAAUAAUAUAGAAUUGCUCAGCAAAAUAAAUAAAUGAUGUAGCUUACAUAUUCCUAUUCAUUUAAUACACCUUCUACCAUAAUUAUUUUUGACUAACGAUGACACUAGUACAUAUACUAUUGUGAUAUUUUGACAGAAUUGACAGUGAAAACAAAGGACUUUAAUGAAACCAAGUUGUUUACUGAUUAUGAUGUUUAAAUUUAGCUUUGAAGUUCGCUCCUCUAUCUAUCUUGAGGUUUCUUAGAUAGAUAUUAGUCCAAAUUAGCUAAGAAACUCAUUAACAAUAAAACUUAAUUAGUAAGUUUGAAAAGACAACCUCAAGAAAAACAGAUAUGGGACAUUCAAAUCUUGCAUAUCUACAUAUGUAGUUAUGCACAUACAAUCCUAAAGCAUUACAACAAACAAUAACAACAUAUUAAACUUCAUUAAAGCAUUAUGUAAGAGAAUGCAUGUUAGUAUUGAGAACAAAACAAAUUUAUUCUUCAGAUUGCUUCUACAUGAGAAGUAAAAAACUAAACAAAUAUAUUCAUAGUACAACACAUUGCUGGAAUACAUUUCUAUGCCAGCAACAGUGAAAUCAAAACUCUCAUACUAUUGGAUAUUCUUAAUUAAUGAACAUAGACUUGCAAUCUUUCAUAGCUAGUGCAGUAUGAAUCAAACAACUGGGACUGUAGGGACCAGAUGAUCCAAAAUGAUGUCAACAUUAAAAUAUGCAAGUUUAAAAAUUGAAACAAAGACAAUGGAGGGAAAUAGUUAACAAAGACAAUGCAUACCACCAUUUCUUCCCGUCUAGAGGUUUUCUUAAAUAUCAUAUUGGAUUUACCAAGAUCAAUAAAUUGGUUAUACAAUUCAAAAACCCAUAAAAUUCUAGAGUAAAGAAACUAAAUUAUAGCACAUAAUAUGUAAAAAAUUCAACCAAUUCAUCACCACAUAAGAAAACCCAUAACAAAUAAUAUCACACAAUAUACCCACGACAUACAUUCCUUAGUCUUUCAAUCAAGUUCCCAAAAGACUUGCUUAAUACAACUCUAAUAGACAAAGUUCCACAACUAAUACUCAAAUACUUUACUUUAGCUCACACAAGAACAAUUAAAUUUUAAAUAGAUUAAAAAAAAUAAAACGUUAAGGUGACUCUUGCCCUCCAAGCCCCAACUUCAAACCCAAUACCCUCACUUCUAGUUCUCAAACAACAAAAAUUAGUAUUCUAACAAAGAAAUAAACACAAUCAAAGAACCAUAUGUCAAAAGAAAGAACGAAAAAGAGAAAGUAACGGAAGGAAAAAGUUUCUGAUUUUCAUUUUAAAAAAACGAGUAACAUGAGAAAUUGAAGAAAUUAACUUACCCUUGAAGUAGCUAAUGCCCAAGGAUUAACAAAUUUGUGCCGAAAAAAGAGCUAUUGAGAAGGUUUUAGGUGUCUUGGAAUUUUAGGGUUGAGAGAGAGAGACGGGAAAAAAUAUUUUGGGAAGUACCUAAAAGUAAAAAGUUUUUACUUAUUCUUCUUCCGUUGAAAUGUGAUUAUUAGAGACUGGGUAUUUGUCUUUGUUUAGACCAGAUUUAAAUCCCUU